rnacentral:lncRNA from 1 species
CUGCGCUGGGUGCACGCGCACACGGGUGUUUGUGUGCUGCUAGGAGCUGCCCCUCUUGCUCCUGGCCCAGCCCCACCCCAGGCUGUCCGGGAGGGGACGGCGCGGAGCGGCCAAGGGCCGCAAGUGCUGAGCCCAGCAGUCUGUCUUGAUACCUGCGGGGAAGUGGCCCCACCCAGGCCCCCACAGGUGCUGAUGGGCAUCGCUGGGCACUUGUGGGCCUGGUCAGAGCUGUAAGUGACUGCCCUAACCCCAGCUCCUUUUCAGGGCCACUGCUGCUGCCUUGUGGCGAUGCCCUGUGAGGGUGACGUCCUGUCUAGCUUUCUGCCACUGUGGCCCCGCUAGGGACUCUGCCCAUGUCACAUGCCCCCACCGUG